UUUGAUGGCGACCGGCGCACGGGUGAGUAACACGUAUCCAACCUGCCGAUGACUCGGGGAUAGCCUUUCGAAAGAAAGAUUAAUACCCGAUGGCAUAGUUCUUCCGCAUGGUAGAACUAUUAAAGAAUUUCGGUCAUCGAUGGGGACGCGUUCCAUUAGCUUGUUGGCGGGGUAACGGCCCACCAAGGCAUCGAUGGAUAGGGGUUCUGAGAGGAAGGUCCCCCACAUUGGAACUGAGACACGGUCCAAACUCCUACGGAAGGCAGCAG
rnacentral:rRNA from 1 species